UACAGGGGGGGCAAGCGUUGUUCGGAAUUACUGGGCGUAAAGGGCUCGUAGGCGGCCAACUAAGUCACACGUGAAAUCCCCAGGCUCAACCUGGGAACUGCGUGUGAUACUGGAUGGCUUGAAUUCGGGAGAGGGAUGCAGAAUUCCAGGUGUAGCGGUGAAAUGCGUAGAUAUCAGGAGGAACACCGGUGGCGAAGGCGGGUCUCUGGGCCGAUACUGACGCUGAGGAGCGAAAGCGUGGGGAGCGAGCAGG
rnacentral:rRNA from 1 species